UUAAUAAAAUUUUUGGUCAAAUCUAGCCCCGGGCUGUCCUGUUUCGCGCGCUUCAAACGUCGUCCAUAUUGUAUUUCAUGACAUACGAGAAAGAUGUUAUACCUUUUGCUCCUAGAUAAAAAGGCUUAUGACGAAGAUUCAGUGACAAAUACAUAGUUACAGCUUCCAGUUCAGUGUUUGUAAUGAGCCACACUAGACAAAACACUGUGGCAGGCAACACUAGACAAUUUAAGAUGAUGGAAAUGGCAGGUUGUUUCAUGAUGAUGUUUUUGGUAUAGAGCGGAACUAUAAUGGAGGGGACAGCCGUAGAUGAAACUUUUGAGAUAGAAGAUCUAAUGUUGUACUGAGAAGACAGUUCUGCUGGGAGUUUUGUGAUGUAGAGGUUUGAGAUUCUCUAAAUUUGACUUAAAGAUAUUGGUAAUGAGAUUGGUUAAAUUACACAUUUAAAAAAAAAGAUGUUUUUAAGGGCCGAUGAUCCAUUUCCUUUAUUUUCUAAAUAUACAUGUUCCCAGAAAUGAAGUCUGCAGAUGACUUAUUGCAGUUUAACUACAUCCAGAAUCGUGUGAAGAAUCAACUUUCUACUUUACCGUUAAAAAGUCACUAAUUAUUGAGUUAUUUUUCUUUUUAAGUGGCCACCAAAAUUAAGGUGAAAUUAUGCUGAAAUAUCAAAAUAUUAGAAUUUCCCCAAAAAUCUUUAGCCUUUAUAUCACACAUCUUUUGUUGGCGCGGCAGUAUAUUUAAGAAAAAUGAAAAAAGUAAAAAAAAAAAUGUGGAGAACUGAAGAAAAAAAUAAUGAUACUGCUGAAAACCUGUGUGAUAUAGAGGUUUGAGUUUCUCUAAAUAUGAGUUAAAAGAAUUUGGUUAUAAGAUUUGUUAUAUUAGACCUUUAAUUAAUUUUUUAAAGUAUGUUUAAUAAGGGUGAAAUCUAUUUCAUUUAUUUUUUAAUACACAUGCUCCCAGAAAUAAAGUCUGCAGAUGACUUAUUGCAGUUUAACUACAUGCUGAAUUUUAGUUUAUGAAUCAUGGGAAAAAUUGACUUUCAACUUUAUCUUUUAAAACCAUAAUUAUUCAGUAGAUUCUUUUUAAACAGCCAUUGAAUUUAAGGUAAACAUUUUGAUAAAAUUUGAAAUUUUAGAAUUUCCAAUGAAUAAAUAGCCUUUAUAUUACACAUCUUUUGUUGGCACUGCUGUAUAUUUAAGAAAAAUGAAAAUAGUAAAAAAAAAAAUUAUGCUGAAAUAUGAAAAUAUUGGAAUUUCCCCAAAAAACUCUAGCCUUUAUAUCACACAUCUUUUGUUGGCGCGGCAGUAUUUUUAAGAAAAAUGAAAAAAGUAAAAAAAAAAAAUGUGGAGAACUGAAGAAAAAAAUAUGAUACUGCUGAAAACCUGUGUGAUAUAGAGGUUUGAGUUUCUCUAAAUAUGAGUUAAAAGAAUUUGGUUAUAAGAUUUGUUAUAUUAGACCUUUAAUUAAUUUUUUAAAGUAUGUUUAAUAAGGGUGAAAUCUAUUUCAUUUAUUUUUUAAUACACAUGCUCCCAGAAAUAAAGUCUGCAGAUGACUUAUUGCAGUUUAACUACAUGCUGAAUUUUAGUUUAUGAAUCAUGGGAAAAAUUGACUUUCAACUUUAUCUUUUAAAACCAUAAUUAUUCAGUAGAUUCUUUUUAAACAGCCAUUGAAUUUAAGGUAAACAUUUUGAUAAAAUUUGAAAUUUUAGAAUUUCCAAUGAAUAAAUAGCCUUUAUAUUACACAUCUUUUGUUGGCACUGCUGUAUAUUUAAGAAAAAUGAAAAUAGUAAAAAAAAAAAUUAUGCUGAAAUAUCAAAAUAUUGGAAUUUCCCCAAAAAACUCUAGCCUUUAUAUCACACAUCUUUUGUUGGCGCGGCAGUAUUUUUAAGAAAAAUGAAAAAAGUAAAAAAAAAAAAUGUGGAGAACUGAAGAAAAAAAUAUGAUACUGCUGAAAACCUGUGUGAUAUAGAGGUUUGAGUUUCUCUAAAUAUGAGUUAAAAGAAUUUGGUUAUAAGAUUUGUUAUAUUAGACCUUUAAUUAAUUUUUUAAAGUAUGUUUUAUAAGGGUGAAAUCUAUUUCAUUUAUUUUUUAAUACACAUGCUCCCAGAAAUAAAGUCUGCAGAUGACUUAUUGCAGUUUAACUACAUGCUGAAUUUUAGUUUAUGAAUCAUGGGAAAAAUUGACUUUCAACUUUAUCUUUAAAAACCCUAAUUAUUCAGUAGAUUCUUUUUAAGUAGCCACCAAAAUUUAGGUGAAAUUAUGCUGAAAUAUCAAAAUAUUAGAAUUUCCCAAAAAAACUCUAGCCUUUAUAUUACACAUCUUUUGUUGGCGCAGUAGUAUAAGAAAAAUGAAAAAAGUAAAAAAAAAAUGUGGAGAACUGAAGAAAAAAAUAUGAUACUGCUGAAAAUUUGUGGGAUUUGAGUUUUUAUAAAAUUUGAAUAUAGAGAUAUAAGUAUUAAGGAUCUUGUACAGUCAAACCUGUUUUAAGCAUGUCACUCAUGGGAAGUAUCAAAAGGGACGGUUUGAGAAAAGUGACCUUUAAAAAGAGUUUCUGUGGCUGGGAAUGCAACUUGGUUUAGUGUUUUAGUUGGAAGAUUUAUCGUUCGUUCGUUUGUUUCGUUCCUGUGAGCAGACAAAUAUUAAAGGGUGGACUCUUGCACUGUCAAUUUGAAGAAGACAUUUAUUGAUUUAAAGAUGUUGAUAUAAUUGGAUAAACAAGUCUGUGAAAUGCUUUUCAAUGGUAUUAAUUGAAGGGAGUGGAAUACAAGGAUUCACCUAUUGCAAGAUCUGUUGCAAACCGUGAAACGGGUUCCGAUUCUCAUUUUGAUUUUGAUACUGAACACAUAUAUUUUUCAUCAUGAUUAUAAUUAUAAUUAAAAACAGUAAAAUGAUGAUUUCGUGCAUAAAAUAAGGUGACCGCAUCGGACAGGUGAUCUCUGAAAUGAGUUAAAUAUAUAGAGAAAAUGCUUGAGAGGGUCACCAAGAGACCGUUAGAGAUAGUUGACCUCUUAAACAAGGUGGUGACCUUAAGGCAGGUUUGACUGUAUAUGAUUAUUUUUUUCACAUCUAGAAUUUUUGUAAUCAAUAAAUCAUGUAAAGAGUGACUUUCAAUCAACUUGAUCAUUAACAACCAUUGUUUUAGAAGUUUCUUUUUAAGCAUAAGCAGCAACUGUUUUUUUUAAAGGAAAUACCUACAUGCAUGAGAUGCAAAGAGUGGAAUAAUCAGCAAGGAGACAUGAAAUUCAUUUUCAGGUAUAAUUGGAUUGCUGCUACAUAAGAAAAGUUCACAAUCAGGAAAUUGAAGUCUCUUUUGUCAAAUUAUUAGCUCUCAGCUGGUCCUUGCUGAUAGUUUCUGGGCGACGGCAAGUUUUGAAGCACAGUAUCCGUAUCUGUUGUAUCCUUCUUCUGGUUCAGUGGGUUAGGUGUGAUCAACUUUUGAGUUAUCUAUAUUAAAAGAGAUCGCCUUCAUAAUGUGAAAUGUGAAAUUAAGGGAUAAUGCUUGAUCUUUUUAUCCUUGAUAAGUGCCUGUAUGAAGUCUGUCUUAAAAGGGGCAGGGUUCCCAUAGCAAUGUCAACAUUUUUAGCUCACCUGGCCCUUUGGGCCAAGUGAGCUUUUCUCAUCACUUGGCGUCUGUCGUCUGUUGUCGUCCGUCGUCGUCGUUAACUUUUAAAUAUAAAUACAUUUUGAACUAGUGAAUGGAAAGAAACCAAACAUGGCAUGAUUGUUUCUUAUGAGAUGCUGACCAAGUGUUGUUACUUUGUAGCCGAUCCAUCAUCCAAGAUGGCCGCCAGCGUGGGACUUAGUUUAACAUAGGACCCUAUGGACAAUACAUGUACAUACAAAUGUCUUCUUUUAGAGAACCACUGAAUGGAAUGAAACUAAACAUGGCAUGAAUUUUCCUUAUGAGGUGCUGACUAAAUGUUGUUACUUUGAAGCUGAUCCAUCUUCCAAGAUGCCCGCCAGCGUGGGACUUAAGUUCAACAAAGGACCCUAUGGACAAUACAUACAAAUGUGUUCUUUUAGAGAACCACUGAAUGGAAUGAAAUUAAACAUGGCAUGAAUGUUCCUUAUGAGGUGUUGACCAAGUGUUGUUACUUUGUAGGUGAUCAAUCAUCCAAGAUGGCCAACAGUGGGGGACUUAGUUUAACAUAGGACCCUAUGGACAAUACAUGUACAUACAAAUGUCUUCUUUUAGAGAACCACUGAAUGGAAUGAAACCAAACAUGGCAUGAUUGUUCCUUAUGAGGUGCUGACCAAGAGUUGUUACUUUGUAGCCGAUCCAUCAUCCAAGAUGGCUGCCAGCAUGAGACUUAGUUUAACAUAGGACCCUAUGGACAAUACAUACAAAUGUCUUCUUUUAGAGAACAACUGAAUGAAAUGAAACUAAACAUGGCAUGAAUGUUCCUUAUGAGGUGCUGACCAAGUGUUGUUACUUUGAAGGAAGCCGAUCCAUCUUCCAAGAUGGCUGCCAGCAGGGGACUUCGUUUAACAUUGGACCAUAAUGGAUAAUACAUACAAAUGUCUUCUUUUAGAGAACCACUAAAUGGAAUAAAACAAACCAUGGCAUGAAUGUUUCUUAUGAGGUGUUGACCAAUUGUUGUUACUUUGAAGCCGAUCAGUCAUCCAAGAUGGCCGCCAGAGAGGGACUUAGUUUAACAUAGGACCCCAAGGACAAUACAUACAAAUGUCUUCUUUUAGAGAACCACUGAAUGGAAUGAAACCAAACAUGGCAUGAAUUUUCCUUAUGAGGUGCUGACCAAGUGUUGUUACUUUGUAGCCAAGCAAUCAUCCAAGAUGGCUACCAGAGGGUAACUUAGUUUAAGGACCCUAGCUAUGUGAAAUACAUACAAAAGUCUUCUUUUGAAGAACCACUGAAUGGAAUGAAACUAAACAUGGCAUGAAUGUUCCUUAUGAGGUGCUGACCAAGUGUUGUUACUUUGUAGCAAAUCCAUCAACCAAGAUGGAUGCUAGCAGGGGGACUUAGUUUAACAAAGGACCCUAUGGGAAAUAUAUACAAAUGUCUUCUUCUAGAAAACCGCCUAAUGGAUUGAAACCAAACAUGGUAUGAAAGUUUCUUAAGAGGUGCUGACCAAGUGUUGUUACUUUGUAGCUGAUUUGUCAUCCAAGAUGGCUGCCAGCAGGGGGAGUAAGUUUAACAUAGGACCCUAUGGGAAAUACAUACAAGUGUUUUCUUCUAGAGAACAACUGAAUAGAAUGAAACCAAACAUGGCAUAAAUGUUUCUAAUGAGGUGCUGACUAAGUGUUGUUACUUUGUAGCUGAACCAUCCUUCAAGAUGGCUGCCAGCAGGGGACUUAGUUUAACAUAAGACCCUAUGGGAUAUAGUCAUACCCCAAGAUUUUUUAUUUAAUUACGGGGCCAAUAUUAAACCAAAUUUGGCCUCAAUCAUCAUUAGGGUAUCCGUUAUGAUUUCCAAAACCAAAGUAGAAUCAGGUGAGCGACACAGGCUCUUGAGAGCCUCUAGUUUGUUUUAGUUCUUUUUUUAAAUUUUUUUAUAGUUUUCUUAUGCCAUUUUUUCCUUUUUCAGAUGAAAAAAAAUUCUCCCUCUUCAACAUUAUUUCAUUAUUUAAUUAAUUAUAACCUUUUUCUCAUUCUGAAUCAGUAUUAAGGUCUGCAGUAAUGCUUUUAGAAAUUUAAAUUAUUAUUUUUAUUCCUCUAAAUU